rnacentral:lncRNA from 1 species
GUAUAUAUGCCAUUGUAUUUCCUGAUAACGAUCCCAUAUCCUGUGACUGAUGGUCCUCAUCCAAACAACAAUUUCCCUCUACUUGUCAGAUUCUUUCAAAAUGUUGGAAAUACUAUAGAAUAUUUUCCGUGUUCGAAAAGAUGAGACAACAGACAUUAAAGAUGACAUACGACUUACUACCUUCUGUAAUACAUAAAAUUUGAUUAAAUAGCAAACCUUUCUAUCAUUUCUCAGAUACAAAAAAGGAUAAAUAGAAUCCUAAGAUAAGUGAACAAACAAAGGAAGUAAACAAAAAAGGAAGAAACAAGUCAAGCCAUGUAUUGCAUCAUCAGUAAUGAUAACGACACACCCAGCUCUUUUGCUGGGCAAAGUGCUUCCCUGGUGAUGCCCACUCUCCAGCUCGCUGUGUUCCUAGGUGAUGCCCACUCUCCAGCUUGCUGUGUCCCUAGGUGAUGCCCACUCUCCAGCUCACUAUGUCCCUAGGUGAUGCCCACUCUCCAGCUUACUGUGUCCCUAGGUGUUGCCCACUCUCCAGCUCGCUGUGUCCCUAGGUGAUGCCCACUCUCCAGCUCACUGUGUCCCUAGGUGAUGCCCACU